rnacentral:lncRNA from 1 species
UCCCUAUUUCCAUUUCUUCUCUUUUCACUCCAAUCACCUAUUCCCAGUCUCCCUCUCUCUCCCAACCCCUCCUUUCUCAACCCCCACUGCCAGACUCCUCAUCUCCUCCGGCACCACCGCAAGUAGGAGCUAUGAGAAGAAGAAAAAAAGGAGAACUGAUGGAAAAUGCUCAGAUCUCUCUCUCUUUCCCUCUGUUAACCUCAUAUAUGAACUCGUGAUGCCAAAUCCCCAGGAUCUUUCAAACCCAACAGAAAAUUGAGCCAAGAAGUUUCGAUAUUUCUCAACAAAUUAAACACACUAAGAAUCCGUAACAGAUCAAAAUAGAACCCACUCACUUCGGUUCUGCUUCUAGAUUUGGUCAAUUUCUUGCUUUUUGGGUACUAGGUUUCCGGUCUCGGAAGCUUGUAUAUCAGUUCAUGCAUUACAGACCUGCAAGUAUAUAUGUUUUGCCUCUUCUGUGAGAUUAGUGUUUGAAUCGGACGAGUUGGCUCUGUCCCAUGGAUUU